GUCCGAGCAAAUUUGGGUAAAGAAAAAAACACGACCAAAGGAGGAGAACGGGCUCGCCUCCUCUCCCUCUCGCUCAAGUCCUCGCCGCCGCCGCCACCACCCACGCCGGCAGCUUCCGGCGAGCUCCGACGCCGCGCAGCACGCCCCCCAACUCCCCAGAGUCCGCUCCUCCCUACCCUCCGGCCAGAUUCUCCGCUCCCGGCCUCUACCGCCCGCUCGAAACGCCACCCCCAUGGCUAGGGUUUCGGGCAGGGCUUCGCCGGCGCGUCUCCGGCGGCCCAGAUGCAGAUGGAGCACGCCAUGGGAAUUCCCCAUCCACCAUGGUCGCCGCCAUCAAGGGCUUCUUCACGGAGAUGUGGAGGACGCCAUGGACCUGCAGCUCCACACAUCCCCUCCCCUCCCCUUCCCGUCCCUUCCUCAUCUCGUUUCCUUCCCUUCCCAUGCAGGUCAACAGGGAGGAACCCUAGCCAUAAGCACCUCCUCGGAUGACGCCUCUGCUACACCAAGAUAGGUCAAGCAACCCCCAUCUACUCUCUGUCUCUCCCAUUAGCACAAGUCCAGUUUUAUUUUGAACAAAAUUCUGCUACUACACAAACAAGUCCAUUAACAGAUCUAUUUUUAUUUAAUUGAUAUCCUUCCAAACACAAACAGUGUAUAUAUGAUGUGCUAUUUUCAUUUUUGUGCUUUUAUUUGUAAGCUCAUAAAAUAGUUACACUAGAAAUGCCAUGCAAGUUCUUAGUGAGCGAGUGGAUUACACUUGUGUAAACCCAAAAGUGGCAGAGGCGAGUUUCCUCUUAAGCUUUGUAAUAUUCCUUAUUUCUUCUUAACAGAGAUAUAUAUGAUAUCUACAUGGCUGCUAUGCUACUUUUUUUGUGUGAUGAAUCAUUGUGAGUUUCGAAGAAACUUCCAAUGUUACCUCCGCCAAGUUUGCCGGCGGAAGAAGCACAUCCAUUGAGCCGUUCAAUGUCGCCUGCGGUGGCUACACCAGAGGUAUGUAUCCCCUUGAAAGCUAAUCAGUUGAUAGAAAUAGAAGCCCCUAUUUCAGUUUAUUGUUUCUGAAUUGGUGCUACUUCUGAUGGCUCUUGUUUCAGUUUAUUGUUUCUGAAUUUAUACUUUGAAUUUAGUAGAUAGAAGCCCCUGAAAUUUGACCCAUCUAUGUUAUGUCACAUCCAACAGAUAAAAUCAUAUUUUUGUGUGUGUUAUGCACCAAGAUGGCUUAGCAUCAGAUGUUACCUAUGACAAUUUAUACUUUGUUUUGUGGAACAAUAACUCCUGCUAGGAGGGCAUGGAGGAGUUUCCCCUUGAACUCCAUGACCUGAUUCUCAGGUUCGUAAUUUAUCCUAUUUUUUGGCUGUUGCUUGCUCCUUUGUUUCUUUGUAGAUGUUCUGAUUAUUGGUGCUUUGGAACUCUUGUGGUCUGUAGAUCAUUGUUCUACUGACGCUCACUUCACCUGAACGGCUGGACCAGAUGAUAGUGGAUAUACCCAGUGUAGUAUAUUGUUAUAAGGUUGUGUAUUAGCUUCCAGUGAUUUUUCUCUCACUGGUAUCUUGACAAAGCUUGAAGUGUAUGCCGAUGUCUUGCUCAGUUUAAUUAGUAAUAGUAUUAGCUUGAAGCGCCAUCCAUACUCAGUUUCAACUAGACACCUCCAUGGAUAGCUCCCUUGCCAUUAUAUUGAAGGUUAGUGUUGUUACCUGUUGCUCAACGUUGCACUUUUAGUACUCUAGCUGCUUUGUAGGCGAAAUCGCCACCACCUGCAACCAUGCCCUCAGGCUUCCCUCAGACCGUCCUUAUCAAUUGUAGUCUCUGCUCGCCCAUGUUAAGUCCCUCCUUUUAGAAAGGGCCUCCCUCGACGGUGGCCUCCCCUGGAAGCUCUUGAACCUACAAUGGAGUCGGUUCCCUGUCAGUAUGAAAUUCUUGCGUUUGGCCGUCAGACUAUUAGUUGUAACCAUGUUAUUCUGUCAAGCUUUUCCAUCGAGUUGCCGAAACAAUAUCAAAGUAGAAGAUGUUAAAUAUGAAAGUACCAAGUUAUGUACUCUGCUAUUGUGGUUGUGAAGCUCGUACAGUCUGCUUGAUGUUCGCACCAAAUUUCCUUCAGGCAACAGGAUGAUGAGUUCAGUGCAAGUCUUCAAAUUGCAGGGCUAAUCAUAGGCAAAGAAUUCUGGACUUCUGUGGGUUUUCAUGAACGAUUUUGAAAUGAAGAAUAGUUGUUAAGUUAUUAUUUUUGCUAGAAGAGUAGCGUGGCAAAAAAGAGUAUUGCUAGGGAAGUAGCUAGAGUACAUGCUACUAUUUUUAUAGGGAAGAGCCUAAACGACCCAACUUAUGCAGUCUACAGAUGUUGCUUACGAAAUUGGGUAUAGAGCCAUGCAUCUGCAACCAUCUAUUAGCAACAUCAGAGAAGCGUAUUGCAGCAGAAGAUUCAAGGGUGAUAACGCAACGAAGAAAAAAUUUGUGUUGUGGGAGAAGAAAUUCUUGCCCCAUAGGCUUUUAGUUUAAAAGUUUCCAUUACAUACAGUUUCACUCUGUUCAUAUGAUACAUUGUUAUCACUCGGUAUUCUGCUCAAGGGGGACUGAUACUUCCUCAUAUGAGAAUUCUUAUCCUUCUGACUAUGUCAUGCCUUUUGGUCUGCCCUGGCUUAGGUAGUUUGUGUUGACUCCUUUAUUAUUCAGUGAUUUGCCAGCUAUUCAUGGAUUCAGCAACAGACUGGGUUUGCUUUGUCCCAAGAUCAUGGAUACUUGAAUGCCCUUUAUUGACCAUGUAUUUGAGAGGCCACUUCUGAUUGCUUUUGUAUUUUUAUGCAUAUUUUAAGCUUGUGGAACCCAUUUAUUUUCUCAAAAAUCUCACUUGUGCAUGCUAAUCUCGGGAACUAUAUUCAGACAUCCCUUGCCCCUCUUAUGCGGGUCAUUUUGCAUUUUGCUUUUGUGUUAGAAUAAGUAAUUAAUAUUAUGUAAUCAGAACCACUUUUUGUUCGUAUGAGAUUGUCCUGUAUGAUAACUUGGUAAGGCAUGAGAACAUUUUUUAUAUGUCAAAAGUGGUCAAUCCGUAGAAGAAUGCAUGCUCCUAAGCCAUGGGAGAAAUUAGCAAACAGACAAAAGUUAUCAUUUGAUUUUAGUGCUUUGAAUAGGUUCAUGCAAAAAGAUAAAACUUUCAGAUGUACAUGGUAUCACCCUCACCUCUGAUGGCACAAGCGCUCUAUUUGAUGUUCUUCAGGAGAGGUUCAAUAUUACAUUUAAGGAGAGAACACAGACAUGGUGACACUCGAUAAAGUGAAGCAAUGGCCAGCCUUGCAAGAGAGGGAAUAGUCUGGGCCUAUCAUACAAUGUAAAUAUGUUUUUUUACAAAUGAAUAAGCUUUGAUUUUUUUGUAUGAA